rnacentral:rRNA from 1 species
UGGGGGAUAUUGCACAAUGGGCGAAAGCCUGAUGCAGCGACGCCGCGUGGGGGAUGAAGGCCUUCGGGUUGUAAACUUCUUUUGCUCUGAACAAGGCGCACCAUGGGGUGUGUUGAGUGUAGGGGUUGAUUAGCGCCGGCUAACUACGUGCCAGCAGCCGCGGUAAUACGUAGGGCGCGAGCGUUGUCCGGAAUUAUUGGGCGUAAAGGGCUUGUAGGUGGCUGGUUGCGUCUGUCGUGAAAGCUCAUGGCUUAACUGUGGGUUUGCUGUGGGUACGGGCUGGCUUGAGUGCAGUAGGGGAGGCUGGAAUUCCUGGUGUAGCGGUGGAAUGCGCAGAUAUCAGGAGGAAUACCGGUUGCGAAGGCGGGUCUCUGGGCUGUUACUGACACUGAGGAGCGAAAGCAUGGGGAGCGAACAGG